rnacentral:rRNA from 1 species
UAUAAUGCAGUCGAGCGCAGGAACUGACGGAACUCUUCGGAGGGAAGGCAGUGGAAUGAGCGGCGGACGGGUGAGUAACACGUAAGGAACCUGCCUCAAGGAUUGGGAUAACUCCGAGAAAUCGGAGCUAAUACCGGAUAGUUCAACGGACCGCAUGGUCCGCUGAUGAAAGGCGCUCCGGCGUCACCUUGAGAUGGCCUUGCGGUGCAUUAGCUAGUUGGUGGGGUAACGGCCCACCAAGGCGACGAUGCAUAGCCGACCUGAGAGGGUGAUCGGCCACACUGGGACUGAGACACGGCCCAGACUCCUACGGGAGGCAGCAGUAGGGAAUCUUCCACAAUGGACGAAAGUCUGAUGGAGCAACGCCGCGUGAGUGAUGAAGGUUUUCGGAUCGUAAAACUCUGUUGUAAGGGAAGAACACGUACGAGAGGGAAUGCUCGUACCUUGACGGUACCUUACGAGAAAGCCACGGCUAACUACGUGCCAGCAGCCGCGGUAAUACGUAGGUGGCAAGCGUUGUCCGGAAUUAUUGGGCGUAAAGCGCGCGCAGGCGGCCUUUUAAGUCUGAUGUGAAAGCCCCCGGCUCAACCGGGGAGGGCCAUUGGAAACUGGAAGGCUUGAGUACAGAAGAGAAGAGUGGAAUUCCACGUGUAGCGNUGAAAUGCGUAGAGAUGUGGAGGAACACCAGUGGCGAAGGCGACUCUUUGGUCUGUAACUGACGCUGANGCGCGAAAGCGUGGGGAGCAAACAGGGAUUANAUACNCUGGUAGUCCACGCCGUAAACGAUGAGUGCUAGGUGUUGGGGGGGGUUUNCCGCCCCUCAGUGCUGAAGCUAACGCAUUAGCACUCCCCCCCGGGGGAGUACGGCGCGCAAGGCUGAAACUCAAAGGGAAUUGACGGGGACCCGCCCCAGCCGGGGGGCUUGUGGUUUAUUUCGAAGCAACUGCGAAGAACUCUUACCAACUCUUGACUUCCCA